rnacentral:rRNA from 1 species
AUACGUAGGGUGCGAGCGUUGUCCGGAAUUACUGGGCGUAAAGAGCUCGUAGGUGGUUUGUCGCGUCGUCUGUGAAAUUCCGGGGCUUAACUCCGGGCGUGCAGGCGAUACGGGCAUAACUUGAGUACUGUAGGGGAGACUGGAAUUCCUGGUGUAGCGGUGAAAUGCGCAGAUAUCAGGAGGAACACCGGUGGCGAAGGCGGGUCUCUGGGCAGUAACUGACGCUGAGGAGCGAAAGCAUGGGUAGCGAACAGGAUUAGUUACCCUGGUAGUCCAUGCUGUAAACGGUGGGCGCUAGGUGUAGGGGUCUUCCACGACUUCUGUGCCGUAGCUAACGCAUUAAGCGCCCCGCCUGGGGAGUACGGCCGCAAGGCUAAAACUCAAAGGAAUUGACGGGG